GAAACAGCUAUGACCAUCCUAAGGUAGCGAAAUUCCUUGUCGGGUAAGUUCCGACCUGCACGAAUGGCGUAACGACUUCUCGACUGUCUCAACCAUAGGCCCGGUGAAAUUGCACUACGAGUAAAGAUGCUCGUUUCGCGCAGCAGGACGGAAAGACCCCGGGACCUUUACUACAGUUUGAUAUUGGUGUUCGGUUCGGCUUGUGUAGGAUAGCUGGGAGACUGUGAAGCUCGGACGCCAGUUCGGGUGGAGUCGUCGUUGAAAUACCAGUCUGGUCGUGCUGGAUGUCUAACCUGGGUCCGUGAUCCGGAUCAGGGACAGUGUCUGAUGGGUAGUUUAACUGGGGCGGUUGCCUCCUAAAGGGUAACGGAGGCGCCCAAAGGUUCCCUCAGCCUGGUUGGCAAUCAGGUGUUGAGUGUAAGUGCACAAGGGAGCUUGACUGUGAGACCGACGGGUCGAGCAGGGACGAAAGUCGGGACUAGUGAUCCGGCAGUGGCUUGUGGAAGCGCCGUCGCUCAACGGAUAAAAGGUACCCCGGGGAUAACAGGCUGAUCUUCCCCAAGAGUCCAUAUCGACGGGAUGGUUUGGCACCUCGAUGUCGGCUCGUCGCAUCCUGGGGCUGGAGUCGGUCCCAAGGGUUGGGCUGUUCGCCCAUUAAAGCGGUACGCGAGCUGGGUUUAGAACGUCGUGAGACAGUUCGGUCCCUAUCCGCUGUGCGCGUAGGAGUCUUGAGAAGGGCUGUCCCUAGUACGAGAGGACCGGGACGGACGAACCUCUGGUGUGCCAGUUGUCCUGCCAAGGGCAUGGCUGGUUGGCUACGUUCGGGAGGGAUAACCGCUGAAAGCAUCUAAGCGGGAAGCCUGCUUCGAGAUGAGGACUCCCACCCACUUGAUGGGGUAAGGCUCCCAGUAGACGACUGGGUUGAUAGGCCGGAUCUGGAAGCACGGUAACGUGUGGAGGUGACCGGUACUAAUAGGCCGAGGGCUUGUCCUC
rnacentral:rRNA from 1 species